rnacentral:rRNA from 1 species
UACGAAGGGGGCUAGCGUUGUUCGGAUUUACUGGGCGUAAAGCGCACGUAGGCGGAUCGAUCAGUCAGGGGGUGAAAUCCCAGAGCUCAACUCUGGAACUGCCUUUGAUACUGUCGAUCUGGAGUAUGGAAGAGGUGAGUGGAAUUCCGAGUGUAGAGGUGAAAUUCGUAGAUAUUCGGAGGAACACCAGUGGCGAAGGCGACUAACUGGACAUGUAUUGACGCUGAGGUACGAAAGCGUGGGGAGCAAACAGG